CCUGUGACCGCCCCCCUCGCGCUUCCCGCUUCUCUUCUCCGCGGAGGGAGGGCGGCGGCUUCCCCGCGGGGCCGGGCCGGGCCGGGCCGGGCGGGUCUUCCCUCAGGGCGGGUGGUUCUUGCGGGCCCGCCGCGGUCUGGCGUGGCGGCGGGAAUGAGGCGGGCUGAGGUGAGGCGGGGGCCCGGCCGGCCGGGGAGCGGGGCAGGUCCCCUCAGCCCUGGCGGCGGGGAGCUGGCGGCUGCCCUGUCGCCUAGCACCGGCACUCCUGUCUCUGGGCUGCUUUCCGAAAGCCCUGCGAGCCUCCCCGGCAGACGGAGCGACGCGUCUGUGGGGCAACUUCCUCGUGACGGAGCUGGAGGGGCGAAGCGGGAUUCUUUUCCCCCCGCUCCCUCUCCCAGCCCUGAAGAAUAAAGUCUUUGUUUCAGGUUUUGUCACAGACAGUAUGCAAACCGCUGAAGCGAUGCGUGGAUUAAAAUUGUGCAAAAGUAAACUCGUGGUGACUGAAAGUGACUUCGUACUACGGAGACUUCUGUCGUGAAGUCGUAGUUCCUGAGCACGUGGGUCUGGAAGGUGGUGGAUACCGAUGUACCUGUUACAGUGCUCAAGUGGUAGACUUGAGGCUUUUGCAUUGUAACUGCGGCUUGUGCACAGGGCAGAAUACUGGUGGAAUAGUUAACUUUCAUCAAGAAGAAAGAAGGUUACUUGGUUUUUUUUUAGUUGCAGGUACAGGAAGACUAAAAGCUGUAUCCAUCUGAAAGCUGGUUGAUGACCUGUGUGAAAUGUCAGUAAUGUUGUCUUUGAGCCAACAGGAUAUUUACCAAGACUGUCUUUGAUCAGCUCUUUUUGUGUCCAGGCAGUGAUGAUCUCUUGUGUCAAAACACAGUUGUUGUGUCCUUAGCAGGAAUUCACUCUCUGAAUAAAUGAUGAAGUAUU